AACGAACGCUGGCGGCAUGCCUAACACAUGCAAGUCGAACGAACCCUUCGGGGUUAGUGGCGCACGGGUGCGUAACACGUGGGAAUCUGCCCUUUGCUUCGGAAUAACAGUUAGAAAUGACUGCUAAUACCGGAUGAUGUCGUAAGACCAAAGAUUUAUCGGCAAAGGAUGAGCCCGCGUAGGAUUAGGUAGUUGGUGGGGUAAAGGCCUACCAAGCCGACGAUCCUUAGCUGGUCUGAGAGGAUGAUCAGCCACACUGGGACUGAGACACGGCCCAGACUCCUACGGGAGGCAGCAGUGGGGAAUAUUGGACAAUGGGCGAAAGCCUGAUCCAGCAAUGCCGCGUGAGUGAUGAAGGCCUUCGGGUUGUAAGACUCUUUUACCAGGGAUGAUAAUGACAGUACCUGGAGAAGUAAGACUCCGGCUAACUCCGU
rnacentral:rRNA from 1 species